AGCGCAGGCGGUUCCUUAAGUCUGAUGUGAAAGCCCCCGGCUCAACCGGGGAGGGUCAUUGGAAACUGGGGAACUUGAGUGCAGAAGAGGAGAGUGGAACUCCAUGUGUAGCGGUGAAAUGCGUAGAUAUAUGGAGGGACACCAGUGGCGAAGGCGACUCUCUGGUCUGUAACUGACGCUGAGGCUCGAAGGCGUGGGUAGCAAACA
rnacentral:rRNA from 1 species